GACGAACGCUGGCGGCGUGCCUAAUACAUGCAAGUAGAACGCUGAAGGAGGAGCUUGCUUCUCUGGAUGAGUUGCGAACGGGUGAGUAACGCGUAGGUAACCUGCCUGGUAGCGGGGGAUAACUAUUGGAAACGAUAGCUAAUACCGCAUAAUAUUGACUAUUGCAUGAUAGUCAGUUGAAAGGUGCAACUGCACCACUACCAGAUGGACCUGCGUUGUAUUAGCUAGUUGGUGGGGUAACGGCUCACCAAGGCGACGAUACAUAGCCGACCUGAGAGGGUGAUCGGCCACACUGGGACUGAGACACGGCCCAGCCUCCUACGGGAGGCAGCAGUAGGGAAUCUUCGGCAAUGGACGGAAGUCUGACCGAGCAACGCCGCGUGAGUGAAGAAGGUUGUCGGAUCGUAAAGCUCUGUUGUAAGAGAAGAACGAGUGUGAGAGUGGAAAGCUCACAAUGUGACGGUAUCUGACCAGAAAGGGACGGCUAACUACGUG
rnacentral:rRNA from 1 species